AAAGCCAUAAAAACCAUGAGGUUAUUAUGGCUGAUUUGAGGAGGGAAAGAGUAAGAGCCGUUUGUUAAAUGUAUAGCGACGAUUCUCCCACCGGGCGCGUUUUAAAGCGACGGUGGAUCCAUAGGUACUGCUCCGGUGCGCGCAUGAUCUCUUUUUCGAUAAUCUUGUUCAUAUAGGCAGCGGCUUGAUUUUCAUCUGCCGGGUAGCCUUCCAUCUCUGGGGUGAUGUACAAACGAUAUCCGCUGUAAUCCGCUUUUCUUACCAUCGUUACGGUUAACAUGGCUGCGCCAGAGAGACGUGAAAGGACAUACGUACCAUUGGUUGUGGCAACAUUUUCCACCGCAAAGAACGGCGCGAAGGAGCUGCCUUUACGACCAUAAUCCUGAUCGGGAGCAAACCAUACCGCUUCACCUUUCUUCAGUGCACCGACAAUGCC
rnacentral:misc_RNA from 1 species